GGCUCAUUAGCUCAGUUGGUUAGAGCGUCGUGCUAAUAACGCGAAAGUCGYGGGYUCGAUCCCCCCAUGGGCCA
rnacentral:tRNA from 1 species